AGCAGCCGCGGUAAUUCCAGCUCCAAUAGCGUAUAUUAAAGUUGUUGCAGUUAAAAAGCUCGUAGUUGAAUUUCGGGAUCAAUAUGUUGGUCGUGCCUCGGUACGUACUAGCAUAUUGGUUUCUCCUUUCUGAAGAACCAUGAUGUCAUUUAUUUGGUGUCGUGGGGAAUCAGGACUGUUACUUUGAAAAAAUUAGAGUGUUUAAAGCAGGCUCACGCUUGAAUACAUUAGCAUGGAAUAAUGAAAUAGGACGCUUGAUUCUAUUUUGUUGGUUUCUAGGAUCGACGUAAUGAUUAAUAGGGAUAGUUGGGGGCAUUAGUAUUCAAUUGUCAGAGGUGAAAUUCUUGGAUUUAUUGAAGACUAACUACUGCGAAAGCAUUUGCCAAGGAUGUUUUCAUUAAUCAAGAACGAAAGUUAGGGGAUCGAAGACGAUCAGAUACCGUCGUAGUCUUAACCAUAAACUAUGCCGACUAGGGAUCGGAUGAUGUUAAUUUUUUAA
rnacentral:misc_RNA from 1 species